rnacentral:lncRNA from 1 species
AAAAGAAUAAAUAAGAGAAUAGUAAGAUAGAAAAACCAGAUGCUCUUGACAGCUGGGUUAUUCAAUCACUUACUGUUGUACCUCCAAUUACUGCAUCAUGGCUUGCACCAUAAGAAAAUCAUCACCGGUAAUAGCACCACCAAACUAUGGCUUAUGCUAACACAUGCCUUCAUGAUCCCCUUCUUUGAGCCCCUUUUCAAUGAAAAUAAAAUCCAUCCACGUAUAAAUCAAAAUUUCUUCUCUCUCAUUACCAUUUAUAUGUCGAAGUAUGUCAUACAUAAUCAAAAAUAUCUUAUAUUACCAUUUACCUAAAAAGAUAUGGAUUCUCAGGCAUAUCUUAUCAUCAUGCAUUAAUUAUUUUCCUCAAAUAAUAAAAAUUUAGAUCUCUUUCUCUUAGCACACAAUCAAAGGAGAUAAUCAUAUAAGUUUUAGUCCAACACUACAUGCCAAUAAUUUCAAGGCUGGUGACUAUGGUUCAAGUCCAGGGAAUAAGGCCAGGAUAUACCCUAGAUCUAGCAAGAGUCAUAUUCUGCAGUUCUUCUGGGCACAAUGGUGGGAGGCGUCGAGCUCCAAUAAGGAAAUGAGAGGGAAAGAAGGGUUCUUCUUGGUGGUGGAGGGCUAUGGAGGGGUGGGAGGCCUUAUUGUAGAGGAGUCCUAGGGUUCCACGAGAGUCUGACAGCCCUUAGACUCCAAUCCUUGCUGAAGUCUUUGAAGGGGAGG